rnacentral:lncRNA from 1 species
AGCCCAACUCCUUCCAUUGACUGAUUGGCUGCUUAAGGUCCUUCGUCGAAGGUGUGGUCUUAAAAACGUCACUCCUACUCAUUCUCGCUUUCAUUCCUUCCAGGAAAAAAAAAUCCUAUUGCUGGAGUGCCACUUCUCGCUAAGGCCCAUAGUUUCUAUAUAAAAACCCUUAGUUUAUUUCAUUGAGCAAAAUUAUGGUCGAAAGAUUCUUCUUAGUCUAACCCUAGCUUAAUAGCUAAUUUUGUUCGCCUCUAGCUUCGUUCGAGCUCAAUUUCAUCGACCUUCAAUUCAAGGACUCACUCACUGCUAUCAAUUCU